UUUUUAUUUUCCUUGUCAUCACUUCUUGUAGUGGCUUUCUAUUAGAAAAGAUGAGAAUGAAUUUGGCCCAUUUUCUGCUUGGAACAUAACUGGAACAUGCACAGGUGUUCAAGUGAGUCAUUCCACUGGUUGUUUAUGGCCAUAUUGAUUUUUGAUGACAUUUGGAAGCAUACUUGCAAAUCAAGAUGAAGUGUUGAUUUU